GUGUUGCAACCUUGAAGGAGAGUAUUCUCUCUCAAUGGCCUAAAGAGAAGGAGAAUAGUCCAAGGACAGUGAAAGAUCUCAAGUUAAUAAGUGCGGGAAAAAUACUGGAGAACAACAUAACUGUGGGGGAAUGCCGGAGCCCCCUGUGUGAUAUCCCUGGUGGCGUUACAACCAUGCAUGUAGUUGUUCAACCAUCUUCCUUGGAUAAAGAAAAGAAAUCAA
rnacentral:misc_RNA from 1 species